rnacentral:rRNA from 1 species
AUUGAACGCUGGCGGCAGGCCUAACACAUGCGAGUCGAGCGGAUGAAGGGAGCUUGCUCCUGGAUUCAGCGGCGGACGGGUGAGUAAUGCCUAGGAAUCUGCCUGGUAGUGGGGGAUAACGUCCGGAAACGGGCGCUAAUACCGCAUACGUCCUGAGGGAGAAGGUGGGGGAUCUUCGGACCUCACGCUAUCAGAUGAGCCUAGGUCGGAUUAGCUAGUUGGUGGGGUAAAGGCCUACCAAGGCGACGAUCCGUAACUGGUCUGAGAGGAUGAUCAGUCACACUGGAAGUGAGACACGGUCCAGACUCCUACGGGAGGCAGAAGUGGGGAAUAGUGGACAAUGGGCGAAAGCCUGAACAAGCCAUGCAGCGUGUGUGAAGAAGGUCUUCGGAUUGUAAAGCACUUUAAGUUGGGAGGAAGGGCAGUAAGUUAAUACCUUGCUGUUUUGACGUUACCAACAGAAUAAGCACCGGCUAACUUCGUG